rnacentral:rRNA from 1 species
UGCGUAGGCGGAUUGGCAAGUCAGAAGUGAAAUCCAUGGGCUUAACCCAUGAACUGCUUUUGAAACUGUUAGUCUUGAGUGAAGUAGAGGUAGGCGGAAUUCCCGGUGUAGCGGUGAAAUGUGUAGAUAUCGGGAAGAACACCAAUGGCGAAGGCAGGUCUCUGGGCCGUUACUGACGCUGAGGAGCGAAAGCGUGGGGAGCGAACA